rnacentral:lncRNA from 1 species
AUAAGGGGGAAAUGAUGGGAAAUGAUGUUUUACUGUAUAACAAUUUUAAUGCUUUGACAUUUUAAUAUUUAUAAAUGUUGUAGUUAUUUGAGAAUUUCACAGUCAAUGAACAUUUGUCACUUUCCUUCUAUCGUGUGUAUUCUUUCAAUAAAGAAACAUUCAUUUUCCUUUUGAAAAUACUCUUUCCUUUCUGCAAACCAAAACCUGAGUCCCCUCCCCACCAGCAAAUGACCCCUCCCCUAAUACUAGUCAGCUGUUUUCAUGGCUGCUUUUAAACCGGUUUGUGUUCAGCCUUAACAAAUUUCAGAAGAAUAUUUUAAGCAAUUUGCUUACAUAUUUUUGAUUCGUUUAACUUUGUUACUGUGUGUUUCUGGCAGAGUCGCCUGCAGUGCACCUCAGCUGAUUCACCCUUUCUGGACCUAUGGAAAGUUUGGUAUUCUUCUACAAUAGAAAACAGGCUUUGUGGUGACUGGGAGCCGACUUCUGAGCUCAAAUCUCCAAUGGAGCAACUCGACUCUUCAAAGAGCUCCAGGAAACACUGCAGCUUCUGUUUCGAAUUUGGACAGAAUCAGGAAGUUAGACGAAGCACUUC